GAUGAACGCUGGCGGCGUGCCUAAUACAUGCAAGUCGAGCGAACAGACGAGGAGCUUGCUCCUCUGACGUUAGCGGCGGACGGGCGAGUAACACGUGGAUAACCUACCUAUAAGACUGGGAUAACUUCGGGAAACCGGAGCUAAUACCGGAUAAUAUAUUGAACCGCAUGGUUCAAUAGUGAAAGACGGUUUUGCUGUCACUUAUAGAUGGUUCCGCGCCGCAUUAGCUAGUUGGUAAGGUAACGGCUUACCAAGGCAACGAUGCGUAGCCGACCUGAGAGGGUGAUCGGCCACACUGGAACUGAGACACGGUCCAGACGCCGACGGGAGGCAGCAGUAGGGAAUCUUCCGCAAUGGGCGAAAGCCUGACGGAGCAACGCCGCGUGAGUGAUGAAGGUCUUCGGAUCGUAAAACUCUGUUAUUAGGGAAGAACAAAUGUGUAAGUAACUAUGCACGUCUUGACGGUACCUAAUCAGAAAGCCACGGCUAACUACGUG
rnacentral:rRNA from 1 species